ensembl:misc_RNA Y_RNA Y RNA
GGCUGGUCUGAAGGUAGUGAGUUAUCUCACUAUCUCACUUGAUUGUUCACAGUCAGUUACAGAUUGAACUCCUUGUUCUACUACUUAACCCCCCUCCUCACUACUGCACUUGACUAGUCUAAA